UUCGGGCGAAGGCGCACCCUCUGAUCUUAGUUGCCAGCAUUCAGUUGGGCACUCUAAGGUGACUGCCGGUGACAAACCGGAGGAAGGUGGGGAUGACGUCCAUCAUCAUGCCCCUUAUGACCUGGGCUACACACGGGCUACAAUGGACAGAACAAAGGGCAACGAAACCCCGAGGUUAACCCAAUCCCACAAAUCUGUUCGCACUU
rnacentral:rRNA from 1 species